AUUGAACGCUGGCGGCAGGCCUAACACAUGCAAGUCGAACGAGUGGCGGACGGGUGAGUAAUGUCUGGGAAACUGCCUGAUGGAGGGGGCUAACUACUGGAAACGGUAGCUAAUACCGCAUACCAUCGGCUUUGCCCAGAUGGGAUUAGCGAGUAGGUGGGGUAACGGCUCACCUAGGCGACGAUCCCUAGCUGGUCUGAGAUGAUGACCAGCAGCGCUGGGACUGAGCCCCGGUCCAGACUCCUGCGGGACGCAGCAGUGGGGAAUAUUGCACAAUGGGCGCAAGCCUGAUGCAGCCAGGCCGCGUGUAUUAAGAAGGCCUUCGGGUUGUAAAGUACUUUCAGCGGGGAAGCGUUACCCGCAGAAGAAGCACCGGCUAACUCCGUGCCAGCAGCCGCUGUUAUUC
rnacentral:rRNA from 1 species